rnacentral:rRNA from 1 species
CCCGCUGAACUUAAGCAUAUCAAUAAGCGGAGGAAAAGAAACCAACUGGGAUUCCCUUAGUAACGGCGAGUGAAGCGGGAACAGCUCAAAUUUGAAAUCUCCCCUCGGGGCGAAUUGUAGUUUCAAGAAGCACUUUCGGGAGCGGACUGGGUCCAAGUCCAUUGGAACAUGGUGCCAGAGAGGGUGAGAGCCCCGUUCGAUCCGUGUCUCGCUCCUGUGUGAUGUGUCUUCAAAGAGUCGGAUAGUUUGGGAAUGCUGUCCAAAGUGGGUGGUAAAUAUCAUCCAAGGCUAAAUACUGGCGAGAGACCGAUAGCGAACAAGUACCGUGAGGGAAAGAUGAAAAGAACUUUGAAAAGAGAGUUAAACAGUACGUGAAAUUGUCAAAAGGGAAGCGCUUGAUACCAGUGUGGCUCCUCAUGAAUCAGUCGCCCGAUGCGGGCGGUGCACUUUGUGAGUUUGCCGGUCAGCGUCAGUUUGGCUUGGGGUAAAACGCUAGUGGAAGGUGACCCACUUGUGGGAGUUAUAGCCGCUUUUGCUGCCCCGGGCCGGACUGAGGAACGCAGCCACGCUUUGAGGUGACCUUUUGCUCGUUGAUGGCCGGCGCUGGACUACUCGUAGAUCGUGUGCUUGCAUAAGGCGAAUCAUUGGGCCCACCAGACAUGGCUUUGGACGCUGACGAAAUGGUCUCAAACGACCCGUCUUGAAACACGG